rnacentral:miRNA from 1 species
UAGGGACUAAAUUGAUCGUUU